rnacentral:rRNA from 1 species
GACGAACGCUGGCGGCGUGCUUAACACAUGCAAGUCGAACGGAAAGGCCCUGCUUUUGUGCGGUGCUCGAGUGGCGAACGGGUGAGUAACACGUGAGUAACCUGCCCUUGACUUUGGGAUAACUUCAGGAAACUGGGGCUAAUACCGGAUAGCAGCUCCUGCUGCAUGGUGGGGGUUGGAAAGUUUCGGCGGUUGUGGAUGGACUCGCGGCUUAUCAGCUUGUUGGUGGGGUAGUGGCUGACCAAGGCUUUGACGGGUAGCCGGCCUGAGAGGGUGAACGGGCACAUUGGGACUGCGAUACGGACCAGACUCCUACGGGAGGCAGUAGGGGGGAAUAUGGCACAAUGGGCGCACGCCUGAGGCAGCAGCGCCGGGUGCGGGAUGACGGCCUUCGGGUUGUAAACCGCUUUCGGCUGUGACGAAGCGGUAGUGACGGUAAUGGGUGAAGAAGCACCGGCUAACUACGUG